UGCUGGAGGUAUCAGAAGUGCGAAUGCUGACAUAAGUAACGAUAAAGCGGGUGAAAAGCCCGCUCGCCGGAAGACCAAGGGUUCCUGUCCAACGUUAAUCGGGGCAGGGUGAGUCGACCCCUAAGGCGAGGCCGAAAGGCGUAGUCGAUGGGAAACGGGUUAAUAUUCCCGUACUUGGUGUUACUGCGAAGGGGGGACGGAGAAGGCUAUGUUGGCCGGGCGACGGUUGUCCCGGUUUAAGCGUGUAGGUGUGUGUUCCAGGUAAAUCCGGUUCACUUUAACACUGAGGCGUGACGACGAGGCACUACGGUGCUGAAGCAACAAAUGCCCUGCUUCCAGGAAAAGCCUCUAAGCAUCAGGUAACACGAAAUCGUACCCCAAACCGACACAGGUGGUCAGGUAGAGAAUACCAAGGCGCUUGAGAGAACUCGGGUGAAGGAACUAGGCAAAAUGGUGCCGUAACUUCGGGAGAAGGCACGCUGACACGUAGGUGAAGUGAUUUACUCACGGAGCUGAAGUCAGUCGAAGAUACCAGCUGGCUGCAACUGUUUAUUAAAAACACAGCACUGUGCAAACACGAAAGUGGACGUAUACGGUGUGACGCCUGCCCGGUGCCGGAAGGUUAAUUGAUGGGGUCAGCGCAAGCGAAGCUCCUGAUCGAAGCCCCGGUAAACGGCGGCCGUAACUAUAACGGUCCUAAGGUAGCGAAAUUCCUUGUCGGGUAAGUUCCGACCUGCACGAAUGGCGUAAUGAUGGCCAGGCUGUCUCCACCCGAGACUCAGUGAAAUUGAACUCGCUGUGAAGAUGCAGUGUACCCGCGGCAAGACGGAAAGACCCCGUGAACCUUUACUAUAGCUUGACACUGAACAUUGAGCCUUGAUGUGUAGGAUAGGUGGGAGGCUUUGAAGUGUGGACGCCAGUCUGCAUGGAGCCGACCUUGAAAUACCACCCUUUAAUGUUUGAUGUUCUAACGUGGACCCGUAAUCCGGGUUGCGGACAGUGUCUGGUGGGUAGUUUGACUGGGGCGGUCUCCUCCUAAAGAGUAACGGAGGAGCACGAAGGUUGGCUAAUCCUGGUCGGACAUCAGGAGGUUAGUGCAAUGGCAUAAGCCAGCUUGACUGCGAGCGUGACGGCGCGAGCAGGUGCGAAAGCAGGUCAUAGUGAUCCGGUGGUUCUGAAUGGAAGGGCCAUCGCUCAACGGAUAAAAGGUACUCCGGGGAUAACAGGCUGAUACCGCCCAAGAGUUCAUAUCGACGGCGGUGUUUGGCACCUCGAUGUCGGCUCAUCACAUCCUGGGGCUGAAGUAGGUCCCAAGGGUAUGGCUGUUCGCCAUUUAAAGUGGUACGCGAGCUGGGUUUAGAACGUCGUGAGACAGUUCGGUCCCUAUCUGCCGUGGGCGCUGGAGAACUGAGGGGGGCUGCUCCUAGUACGAGAGGACCGGAGUGGACGCAUCACUGGUGUUCGGGUUGUCAUGCCAAUGGCACUGCCCGGUAGCUAAAUGCGGAAGAGAUAAGUGCUGAAAGCAUCUAAGCACGAAACUUGCCCCGAGAUGAGUUCU
rnacentral:rRNA from 2 species